UAUAAGUCGAUGAUAAAGAGAGUAAUUGCAUGUAACUGCAGAAGCGAGCCGGGGUGGUGGAAGCCGGUGCAGACAUGUAAUGAACCGCACUUUUGAGAUAGUUGCCUGAACAAGUGUAAAACUUUAGUAAGGCAAACCGGGCCGUCCCCGUUAACAGCCUCAAGCCGAUUCCGCGGAUGCGGAAUAACUAGAGUGGUACCGCGGAUGUAUAAACGUUCGUCUCUUAU
rnacentral:ncRNA from 1 species